ACUAAAAAUGUGAUGAUUUAGUUACCGCCCCAGUCUGAACGUUCGUGUGGACUGGGUUUAUUCUGAUAAA
rnacentral:snoRNA from 1 species